rnacentral:rRNA from 1 species
AGAGUUUGAUUCUGGCUCAGAACGAACGCUGGCGGCGUGGAUAAGACAUGCAAGUCGAGCGACUACACUCUUGCAGCAAUGUGGGGGUGUGGGAGCGGCGAAAGGGUGCGUAACACGUGGGCAACCUGCCCUCAAGAGGGGGAUAACUCCGGGAAACCGGAACUAAUACCGCAGGUGGUUACUGGGAGGCAUCUUCUGGUAACUGAAGCUGGGGACCGAAAGGCCUGGCGCUUGAGGAUGGGCCCGCGACCUAUCAGCUAGUUGGUGGGGUGACGGCUCACCAAGGCAAAGACGGGUAGCUGGUCUGAGAGGACGACCAGCCACACUGGAACUGAGACACGGUCCAGACACCUACGGGUGGCAGCAGUCGAGAAUUUUUCACAAUGGGCGCAAGCCUGAUGGAGCGACGCCGCGUGGGGGAUGAAGGCCUUCGGGUCGUAAACCCCUGUCAGUUGCGAACAAACCUUGGGGGUGAACAGCCUCCAAGUUGAUGGUAGUGACAGAGGAAGGGACGGCUAACUCUGUGCCAGCAGCCGCGGUAAUACAGAGGUCCCGAGCGUUGUUCGGAUUUACUGGGCGUAAAGGGUGCGUAGGCGGUUGGGUAAGUCUGAUGUGAAAGCCCCGGGCUCAACCCGGGAACGGCAUUAGAAACUGCCUGGCUUGAGGGUUGGAGGGGGGACUGGAAUUCCCGGUGUAGCAGUGAAAUGCGUAGAUAUCGGGAGGAGCGCCAGUGGCGAAGGCGAGUCCCUGGACAACAUCUGACGCUGAGGCACGAAAGCUAGGGGAGCAAACAGGAUUAGAUACCCUGGUAGUCCUAGCCGUAAACGGUGCACGUUUGCUGUGGGCGGAAUCGACCCCGUCCGUGGCGGAGCUAACGCGUUAAACGUGCCGCCUGGGGAGUACGGUCGCAAGAUUAAAACUCAAAGAAAUUGACGGGGGCCUGCACAAGCGGUGGAGUAUGUGGCUCAAUUCGAUACUACGCGAAGAACCUUACCUGGCCUUGACAUGCACGUGGUAGAAGUCUGAAAGGAUAACGACCCCGCAAGGGGAGCGUGCACAGGUGCUGCAUGGCUGUCGUCAGCUCGUGUCGUGAGAUGUUGGGUUAAGUCCCGCAACGAGCGCAACCCCUGUGUCCUGUUGCCCCCCGGUCGAGAGACUGGAGCACUCUGGACAGACUGCCUCGCUUCAACGGGGAGGAAGGUGGGGAUGACGUCAAGUCAGUAUGGCCCUUACGGCCAGGGCUGCACACGUACUACAAUGCCCGGCACAGUGGGAAGCGAGACCGUCAGGUGGAGCAAAUCCCUCAAAACCGGGCCCAGUUCAGAUUGUCGGCUGCAACUCGCCGGCAUGAAGCUGGAAUCGCUAGUAAUGGCGCAUCAGCUACGGCGCCGUGAAUACGUUCCCAGGCCUUGUACACACCGCCCGUCACAUCAUGAAAGCCGGCUGUACCCGAAGUCGUCGCGUUAACGCGCAAGCGAGACAGAUGCCGAAGGUAUGACUGGUGAUUGG